rnacentral:rRNA from 1 species
GAGUUUGAUCCUGGCUCAGGAUGAACGCUGGCGGCACGCUUAACACAUGCAAGUCGAGCGGAAACAUAAAGGAGAGAUGACUUCGGUCAAAAGGAAUUUGUGUUUUAGCGGCGGACGGGUGAGUAACGCGUGGGUAACCUACCCUAUGCAGGGGGAUAACGUAUAGAAAUGUACGCUAACACCGCAUGAGCUUACAGGAACGCAUGUUCUAGUAAGAAAAUCUCAGGAGGCAUAGGAUGGGCCCGCGUCCUAUUAGCUAGUUGGUAAGGUAAUGGCCUACCAAGGCAUCGAUAGGUAGCCGGUCUGAGAGGAUGGACGGCCACAUUGGGACUGAGACACGGCCCAGACUCCUACGGGAGGCAGCAGUGGGGAAUAUUGCACAAUGGGGGAAACCCUGAUGCAGCGAUGCCGCGUGAAGGACGAAGGUUUUCGGAUCGUAAACUUCUAUCAGCUUGGAAUAAGAUGAAAGUACAAGAGUAAGCAGCCCCGGCUAACUACGUGCCAGCAGCCGCGGUAAUACGUAGGGGGCAAGCGUUAUCCGGAAUUACUGGGUGUAA